GCAAGUCGAACGAAACUGCGAAAUGCUUGCAUUUCAAAGUUUAGUGGCGAACGGGUGAGUAACACGUAGGAAACCUACCUCUAAGACGAGGAUAACUGUGAGAAAUUACAGCUAAUACUGGAUAAGUAAUUAAAUCGCAUGAUUUAAUUAUUAAAGAGGCUUUUGGCCUUGCUUAGAGAUGGUCCUGCGGUGCAUUAGCUAGUUGGUAAGGUAAUGGCUUACCAAGGCGAUGAUGCAUAGCCGACCUGAGAGGGUGAUC
rnacentral:rRNA from 1 species